CCUACGGGCGGCAGCAGUGAGGAAUAUUGGUCAAUGGACGAGAGUCUGAACCAGCCAAGUAGCGUGAGGGAUGACUGCCCUAUGGGUUGUAAACUUCUUUUAUAUGGGAAUAAAACGUUCCACGUGUGGGAUUUUGUAUGUACCAUAUGAAUAAGGAUCGGCUAAAUCCGUGCCAGCAGCCGCGGUAAUACGGAGGAUCCGAGCGUUAUCCGGAUUUAUUGGGUUUAAAGGGAGCGUAGGUGGAUUGUUAAGUCAGUUGUGAAAGUUUGCGGCUCAACCGUAAAAUUGCAGUUGAAACUGGCAGUCUUGAGUACAGUAGAGGUGGGCGGAAUUCGUGGUGUAGCGGUGAAAUGCUUAGAUAUCACGAAGAACUCCGAUUGCGAAGGCAGUUCACUGGACUGCAACUGACACUGAGGCUCGAAAGUGUGGGUAUCAAACAGGAUUAGAUACCCUAGUAGUC
rnacentral:rRNA from 1 species